AAGGGAGACCUAAUUCCGGUAGGAGACGAAAAAAAAGUAGUCCCAACCAAGAAUCAAUCCCAAAAGGUCGGAGCGAGGCGAAAUUGGCUUUCAAACUAGGUUCUGGGUUCACACAAGACCUGAAUCAGGAACAAGGGCUAUUAGCUCAGGUGGUUAGAGCGCACCCCUGAUAAGGGUGAGGUCCCUGGUUCGAGUCCAGGAUGGCCCACCUGCACAGGUGGCAAAAACAAAGAAAAAAAGCUCCGAAUCAGCACCUUAUCUUACUUAUACAGUAAGAGAGAAUGCUGGCUCUGAGUUCAGAGUCCAGAGGAACCUUGAAAACUGCAUAGAGCUAGGUGAAAAAGCCAAAAAAGAAGACCGUCA
rnacentral:tRNA from 1 species